AGAUUACAUUUGAAUGCUUGUAUUAAACUGAAGGCCGGCAUCAUCAGACUCAAGACGAAUACGCGAUAUAAUCACGAGUUUUCUAGCUGGACCCUCAUUACCUUAGGUUCAUUUUGAAGGGCUUGGACUUCAAACUGUUGAAGUCUGGAAUUACAAAAGCCGGAGUAUAUUGGAGAGAUUUUAUUUAAUCGUACCGUUUACGGUAUGGAUAACUCCAAAGGCAUCCAUGUCCUGCCUCUAUCCAAACUGGAAUGUCAAAAAGGAAUCCUUAGAAGCUGAGAUUGUCCCUACGAGGAUACUAGUACAAGUCCAGCCUGUCUUAUCUGGAGUCCUUCUGGUUACAAGGUAUGCUUGACAAGUCUUCACUUGAAAUCACAACAAUGUCGAGUGCAGACGACGACGACGCUCUUACUUUGGCAAAUUGGCAGCUUUCUGUAUUGUGGCCAAGCGAAAGGCAACUAGAAAGAACCGGCGGGAGUGUGCAAAGAGUGGGUGAAGAAGAGGAAAACAUAUUCUCAUGUUAACCUAUUGGCUGAGUUGAAGAUUUAUCCACGUGAUUGGCACAACUACCUUCGAAUGAACGAAGCGACAUACUUACAUCUGCUGUCACUGGUAACACCACUAAUUGCGAAGACCACUACAAACAUGAGAGAAGCAAUUUCUCCCCACGAAAGAUUGACUGCAACACUGCGAUUUCUUGCUACUGGAAGAAGCUAUGAAGAUCUUAAAUACUCUACCAUAAUUUCACCACAAGCUAUGAGCUACAUAGUUCCAGAUACCUGCCGUGCAAUUUUCGAGGUUUUGAAGGUUGAGUAUUUGAAGGUCAGCAAAUCAUCGUAUCUAUAGAAAUAAUACUCACUUCAUUUAACAAACUCCUUCAAAUUUUAACUGUAUUUCUAUUCAACGCCUUGAGAAAAUAGGGACAGAAAUAAGGACACAUAUCAAUAAUGAACAUUUAUUUCCAUGUACCUAAUUUAAUCUCAAUUUGUGAUAUAUCAUUACAUGUAAUACAUAGGAAAAAUGUAAACAAA